GUCCACGCCCUAAACUAUGUCAACUGGUUGUCGGGGAAGCAAUUCCUUGGUAACGAAGCUAACGCGUGAAGUUGACCGCCUGGGGAGUACGGCCGCAAGGUUAAAACUCAAAGGAAUUGACGGGGACCCGCACAAGCGGUGGAUUAUGUGGAUUAAUUCGAUGCAACGCGAAAAACCUUACCUACCCUUGACAUGUACGGAAUCCCCCAGAGAUGGGGGAGUGCCCGAAAGGGAACCGUAACACAGGUGCUGCAUGGCUGUCGU
rnacentral:rRNA from 1 species